AGUGAACGCUGGCGGUAGGCCUAGCACAUGCAAGUCGAACGGCAGCACAGUAAGAGCUUGCUCUUACGGGUGGCGAGUGGCGGACGGGUGAGGAAUACAUCGGAAUCUACUUUUUCGUGGGGGAUAACGUAGGGAAACUUACGCAAAUACCGCAUACGACCCACGGGUGAAAGCAGGGGAUCUUCGGACCUUGCGCGAUUGAAUGAGCCGAUGUCGGAUUAGCUAGUUGGCGGGGUAAAGGCCCACCAAGGCGACGAUCCGUAGCUGGUCUGAGAGGAUGAUCAGCCACACUGGAACUGAGACACGGUCCAGACUCCUACGGGAGGCAGCAGUGGGGAAUAUUGGACAAUGGGCGCAAGCCUGAUCCAGCCAUACCGCGUGGGUGAAGAAGGCCUUCGGGUUGUAAAGCCCUUUUGUUGGGAAAGAAAAGCAGCAGGUUAAUACCCCGCUGUUCUGACGGUACCCAAAGAAUAAGCACCGGCUAACUUCGUG
rnacentral:rRNA from 1 species